GCCGUGGAAGCCCCCUCUCAAUAUUUGUGGUUUAUGUCGCUUCUGAGAGUCAGGAAUCUAGGACUGGCUUAUUUGGGGGCUUCUGGCUCAGGAUCUCCCGUGAGGUUGCAAUCAAGAUGUUGGCCAGGACUGCAAUCAUCUGAAGGAGAAGUGAAUCCUAACACAGGGAGACUUCAGCGAAUGAGAAGAGAAGGCACCAAAAGCAAAGGUCCAGAGGACACACCCUAAUCCCUACUGAGGACCUUCCAGGAAUCUAUGAAUUCAGUGGUCCUGCCACAUCAGGGACCCGAUCUCCCAGGAGAAGAAAGGGGCUCCAAGUGGUAUUAUCUGCUAUCAUAACCCAGAGGAAUUAGCUGCUCUUCCCAAAGACACUUGAUGGCAUAAACCAGAACUCCCAGUUUCUAGUCCAGAUUCCGUUCUUGGGACAGCAAGAAAGAAGAUGGGGAGAGUUGGAGGAGAGAGAUUUCCUCAGCACGGACAGCCUCUGGGACUCCGCUGACAUGACCAGAGGCUGACCAUCACUCUCUUUGGGAACACUUGGUCCUUCACCUUGACUGCCACCAUGCAGCCAGGCUGAACAUCCAGGAACACAGAGUUCCUGGCUCCUCCCACAACUUCCAGAAUUGGAUGAAAUGCCUUACGGAUUCUCACUAUAGGAAAGGCCACAGGACAAAACCGGAACUGUUGGGGAGUCAACUUUCUGUCGACUGAGUCUCUGCUAAUGGAAAACAAGAGAUGGGAGGGAGAUUGCAGAUAAAUUCCCCUUCUUCCUCCCUCCCGUGGCCCACUCCAAAGUGCCAUUUCUCUCCGCAGCCUGCUUGGAGUGGAACCAUAUGCCAACCAGACAUGCUUGCUGAGUAACCUGCUGUGAUCUUGGAGGCUUCUCGUGAAGUGUCAGCCAGGAUGACAAUGUACCAUUUCACACUUCCUCACGCCUUUCUUGCUUCACUUCCCCU